rnacentral:rRNA from 1 species
GGUGAACGCUGGCGCGUGCUUAAGACAUGCAAGUCGAACGGCAGUCUUCGGACUGUAGUGGCGCACGGGUGAGUAACGCGUAACUGACCUACCCCAAAGUCGCGGAUAACGAUUCGAAAGAAUCGCUAAUACGUGAUGUGCUGUCAGAUUGUGUUCUGUCAGUAAAGAUUGAUUGCUUUGGGAUGGGGUUGCGUUCCAUCAGCUAGUUGGUGGGGUAAAGGCCCACCAAGGCGACGACGGAUAGCCGGCCUGAGAGGGUGGCCGGCCACAGGGGCACUGAGACACGGGUCCCACUCCUACGGGAGGCAGCAGUUAGGAAUCUUCCACAAUGGGCGAAAGCCUGAUGGAGCGAUGCCGCGUGAGGGAUGAAGGUCUUCGGAUCGUAAACCUCUGAAUCAGGGACGGAAGACACUUCGGUGGGAUGACGGUACCUGAGUAAUAGCACCGGCUAACUCCGUGCCAGCCGCCGCAGUAAUAC